rnacentral:rRNA from 1 species
AUUGAACGCUGGCGGCAUGCCUUACACAUGCAAGUCGAACGGCAGCACGGGUGCUUGCACCUGGUGGCGAGUGGCGAACGGGUGAGUAAUAUAUCGGAACGUACCUUAUUGUGGGGGAUAACGCAGCGAAAGCUGUGCUAAUACCGCAUAAUCCCUUAGGGGGAAAGCGGGGGACCGUAAGGCCUCGCGCAAUUAGAGCGGCCGAUACCCGAUUAGCUAGUUGGUGAGGUAAAGGCUCACCAAGGCGACGAUCAGUAGCUGGUCUGAGAGGACGAUCAGCCACACGGGGACUGAGACACGGCCCAGACUCCUACGGGAGGCAGCAGUGGGGAAUUUUGGACAAUGGGGGCAACCCUGAUCCAGCAAUGCCGCGUGAGUGAAGAAGGCCUUCGGGUUGUAAAGCUCUUUUGUCAGGGAAGAAACAGCAGCUCUAACACAGUAUGCGAAUGACGGUACCUGAGGAAUAAGCACCGGCUAACUACGUGCCAGCCGCCGCGGUAA